CUGUGCUUUCGCCUUUAUAUGCUGUGCUUUCUUCUUCAAGAGAAAAGCACAGCAUAUAAAGAAGAAAGCACAGCA
rnacentral:miRNA from 1 species